GGGAAAGAAAGUGUGAAAAGGGGGGGAAUAAUCACAGUAACUUCUAUUAGGGUGAAAAGGGGGGAAAUAAUGCUAUUAUUGCUACACAAUGUAAUUUGAUAUAAGUGUUGCUAUUUUUUGUUAUUUAAUACCUAGGUAUGCUACUCUAUGUAGUUUUUGCUCCAUUUAAAUCAAAGGCAAUGUAUAUGAGUGAGAAUGAGUGGUAAAAUCACCACUCAUCAA
rnacentral:lncRNA from 1 species